rnacentral:rRNA from 1 species
UGGGGAAUAUUGGACAAUGGGCGAAAGCCUGAUCCAGCCAUGCCGCGUGUGUGAAGAAGGUCUUCGGAUUGUAAAGCACUUUAAGUUGGGAGGAAGGGCAUUAACCUAAUACGUUAGUGUUUUGACGUUACCGACAGAAUAAGCACCGGCUAACUCUGUGCCAGCAGCCGCGGUAAUACAGAGGGUGCAAGCGUUAAUCGGAAUUACUGGGCGUAAAGCGCGCGUAGGUGGUUCGUUAAGUUGGAUGUGAAAUCCCCGGGCUCAACCUGGGAACUGCAUCCAAAACUGGCGAGCUAGAGUAGGGCAGAGGGUGGUGGAAUUUCCUGUGUAGCGGUGAAAUGCGUAGAUAUAGGAAGGAACACCAGUGGCGAAGGCGACCACCUGGGCUCAUACUGACACUGAGGUGCGAAAGCGUGGGGAGCAAACAGG